rnacentral:rRNA from 1 species
GACGAACCGUGCGAACGUUGUUCGGAAUCACUGGGCUUAAAGGGCGCGUAGGCGGAUCAUCAAGUCCGGGGUGAAAUCUUUCGGCUUAACCGGAAAAGUGCCUUGGAUACUGGUGGUCUCGAGUGAGGUAGGGGCAUGUGGAACUUCUGGUGGAGCGGUGAAAUGCGUUGAUAUCAGAAGGAACGCCGGUGGCGAAAGCGACGUACUGGACCUCUUCUGACGCUGAGGCGCGAAAGCUAGGGGAGCAAACGGG